rnacentral:rRNA from 1 species
UACGUAGGGGGCAAGCGUUGUCCGGAAUCAUUGGGCGUAAAGAGCGCGUAGGCGGUCCGGUAAGUCCGCUGUGAAAGUCGGGGGCUCAACCCUCGAAUGCCGGUGGAUACUGCCGGGCUAGAGUCCGGAAGAGGCGAGUGGAAUUCCUGGUGUAGCGGUGAAAUGCGCAGAUAUCAGGAGGAACACCGAUGGCGAAGGCAGCUCGCUGGGACGGUACUGGACGCUGAGGCGCGAAAGCGUGGGGAGCAAACAGG